rnacentral:miRNA from 1 species
UUGAAGGAUUUGUAAGACAUGUUUGAGGAAACUGACUCGUGUUUAACACUAAGUCAAUUUCCUCAAACAUUUCUUACAAAUCCUUCAA